GAUGAACGCUGGCGGCGUGCUUAACACAUGCAAGUCGAACGGAAAGGCUCCUGCUUGCAGGGGUACUCGAGUGGCGAACGGGUGAGUAACACGUGGGUGAUCUGCCCUGCACUUCGGGAUAAGCCUGGGAAACUGGGUCUAAUACCGGAUAGGACGAUGGUUUGGAUGCCAUUGUGGAAAGUUUUUUCGGUGUGGGAUGAGCUCGCGGCCUAUCAGCUUGUUGGUGGGGUAAUGGCCUACCAAGGCGUCGACGGGUAGCCGGCCUGGGAGGGUGGACGGCCACAUUGGGCUGGGAAUGCGGCCCAGACCCCUACGGGAGGGAAGGGUGGAGUAUGGUACACAGUGGGCGGAGGCCUGGCGUGACGACGCCGCGUGGGGGGUGACAGCCUUCGGGUUGUAAUCUCCAUUCGCUAGAGACGAGGCGCAAGUGACGGUACCUGGAGAAUAAGCACCGGCUAACUACGUG
rnacentral:rRNA from 1 species